UACGUAGGGUGCGAGCGUUAAUCGGAAUUACUGGGCGUAAAGCGUGCGCAGGCGGUUCGUUGUGUCGGCGGUGAAAGCCCCCGGGCUUAACCUGGGAAUGGCCGUUGAAAACUGGCGAACUGGAGUGUGGCAGAGGGGGUGGAAUUCCGCGUGUAGCAGUGAAAUGCGUAGAGAUGCGGAGGAACACCGAUGGCGAAGGCAGCCCCUGGGCUAACACUGACGCUCAGGCACGAAAGCGUGGGGAGCAAACAGG
rnacentral:rRNA from 1 species